rnacentral:misc_RNA from 1 species
AUCUGACGGCCCCAGCACA